UCUAUAAAUAAUAUAUUUCUGGAACCAACAAACACUUUCAAAUAUUUAGGUGUAUUUUUUGAUCCCACUUUAUGUUUCAAAAAUCACUAUAGUUUUAUUUGUAAUAAAGCUUUUAAAUUACUUGGAUUUUUGAAAAGAACCUGUCAGAAUUCAAUAAUGUUGAUUGUUUUAAAAGUGUGUAUUGUUCUAUGGUUAGAUCAGUUCUGGAAUAUUCCAGUAGUAUUUGGUCUCCUUUAUAUAAAUGUCAUAUUGAAAGCAUUGAGAAAGUUCAGAAAACAUUUCUACGCUUUGUAGGCUAUAAAUUAGGGAUUUCUUCAGAAGAUAUAGUGUAUUGUGACAUUUUAAAAUUACCUAAUAUACCAACAUUAGAAAAUCGUCGUUUAAUGCUAGGUUUGGUUUUUCUUUUCAAGAUUGUAAACGGAAUGAUAGAUUCGCCUCAAACUUUGCAGAGAAUAGGUCUUAGGGUUCCUCAGAGGUACACAAGAUCUAAGGACGUUUUUCACUUAGAAUUCCAACAAACAAACUAUUGUCUAAAUAGACCUAUAAGACGAAUGUGUCAAUCUGGAAAUGGUUUAGACUUUUUUCUAGCUCUCUGAAUAGUUUUCGAAAAAAGCUGAAAAAAUAUUUUUAAAAUACAAUGUAGGUUGUCACUGUAAACUGUCAUUUAGGUAUCUAUUCUAUUCAUUUGCCUUGUGUAAAUUGUAUGUAAUUACUAUUGAGUUCUAAAACUGUUAAUAUGAUAUGAAUUGUUUAAUAAUUGUAAUUAUUGUAAUUGGUAUAACCGUAAAUAAACUAUUUAUUUAUUUAAAACAAAUUUAGAUCUACAUCCAUUUACUGAGUUUGACACUGAUGUAGUGGUUUCUUUACUAUUCUAUAUUUUAGUAAGUUAAGAACCAAUAUCGAAAGAAACUCCAGUUAGGAAAUUUUAGAAUCAUUCUCAACUUAAAAUUUUAUAUCUAUGUUGGCUCAUGCUUUCUCUUAUAGUACUCAUGCUUCUUUAUCCUCAUCCUUCGACCAAUACAUAUCAACUUGAGGCAGAGUGUGAUAACCAGAUAAUAUACAUAUGCCAAUCAAUUUUUUUAAAUCUAUGUCAUUCAUUUCAAAAUUCCGACCGUUAUUCUGCAAUGCAUAAAUAUUUUUUUGUAAAAUAUUGUAUGCUCUCAACUACUUCUCUAUCAAAAAAGAGUGAAAAAACUUCAGUAGACGAAUUGCCUCCAUGUGUAGCUUUUAUAUUUUCUAAAUAUCGAUCAGACUGCUGUUGAAUAUCGAUCAGACAUGUUGAAUUACUGCUGAGUACGAAGCAGUAUCUGGUUUUACCCAACUUUGGAUUUAUUAUUUUUCAAUUAUGUAUUUUUGCCUGGUUCUUUCUUUGGACGUUUUGAUUUGUGGUUCAGAGGAAUAUCAUAAUUAGAAUCGUUAGAAUUCCCAUUUAUUUGCAUUUUAUAUGUACCUGCAAUAUUCGUUUUUAUUCUUUCUUCACAAACAAUAUUAUCAUCAACGUCUUCUACAUCAGAAAUUUUAUCUGUUUCUCAUGGCACAUAAACCACAUCAAGUGAGUCAGCAUUUUUACAAUCUGAGUCGUCUUCUAACAAAGCCAUUAACCCUUUAGUCGUUAGUACCCUCUUUAUUUCAUAUUUCGCGAAUUUACUGAAAGAAACAAAAAAAAAUGCACUACUAUACACGCCUCCACAUGAUAAUAAUUUAGCUUAAGUCAUUUUAAUUUAUAUGGAAUGUAAAACAAAUAAACACAAGGAAGCUGUCAAACUGAUUUAAGAUAAAAAGAAAACAAAUAUAACCUUUACAGCACAUAGAAAUUCUAUAAAUAGAGAAUGAAGCACGAAAAAAAUAUAGUAUGGUUUCGGCCAAAGGUGCACCAGAUAUGCAUCCAUCGUAUUAACAUACAAUUAUAGGCCUUAUUUUUAAGAAUAAGUGAAUAAGUUUUAGAA
rnacentral:lncRNA from 1 species